rnacentral:rRNA from 1 species
AUGAGCCCGCGGCCUAUCAGCUUGUUGGUGAGGUAAUGGCUCACCAAGGCGACGACGGGUAGCCGGCCUGAGAGGGAGACCGGCCACACUGGGACUGAGACACGGCCCAGACUCAUACGGGAGGCAGCAGUGGGGAAUAUUGCACAAUGGGCGAAAGCCUGAUGCAGCGACGCCGUGUGAGGGAUGACGGCCUUCGGGUUGUAAACCUCUUUCAGCAGGGAAGAAGCGAAAGUGACGGUACCUGCAGAAGAAGCGCCGGCUAACUACGUGCCAGCAGCCGCGGUAAUACGUAGGGCGCAAGCGUUGUCCGGAAUUAUUGGGCGUAAAGAGCUCGUAGGCGGCUUGUCACGUCGGGUGUGAAAGCCCGGGGCUUAACCCCGGGUCUGCAUUCGAUACGGGCUAGCUAGAGUGUGGUAGGGGAGAUCGGAAUUCCUGGUGUAGCGGUGAAAUGCGCAGAUAUCAGGAGGAACACCGGUGGCGAAGGCGGAUCUCUGGGCCAUUACUGACGCUGAGGAGCGAAAGCGUGGGGAGCGAACAGGAUUAGAUACCCUGGUAGUCCACGCCGUAAACGGUGGGAACUAGGUGUUGGCGACAUUCCACGUCGUCGGUGCCGCAGCUAACGCAUUAAGUUCCCCGCCUGGGGAGUACGGCCGCAAGGCUAAAACUCAAAGGAAUUGACGGGGGCCCGCACAAGCAGCGGAGCAUGUGGCUUAAUUCGACGCAACGCGAAGAACCUUACCAAGGCUUGACAUACACCGGAAAACCCUGGAGACAGGGUCCCCCUUGUGGUCGGUGUACAGGUGGUGCAUGGCUGU